AGAGUUUGAUCAUGGCUCAGGAACAACGCUGGCGGCGUGCCUAAUGCAUGCAAGUCGAACGGGAGCCGCUUCGGCGGUCGACCGUGGCGGACGGGUGAGGAACACGUGGGCAACCCAUCCAAGCGCGGGGGAUAACGGCGGGAAACCGUCGGUAAUACCCCAUGAGCUUGAUCUCCGUUGGGGAGAUGAAGCAAAGGUUGAGAGACCGUGCUUGGCGGGGCCUGCGGCCUAUCAGCUAGAUGGGGGGGUAGUGGCCCACCAUGGCGACGACGGGUAGCUGGUCUGAGAGGACGAUCAGCCACACGGGGACUGAGACACGGCCCCGACUCCUACGGGAGGCAGCAGCAAGGAAUUUUCCGCAAUGGGCGCAAGCCUGACGGAGCGACGCCGCGUGGAGGAAGACACUUUUCGGAGCGUAAACUCCUUUUCUGGGGGAUGAAGGGAGUGACAGUACCCCAGGAAGAAGGACCGGCUAACUACGUGCCAGCAGCCGCGGUAAGACGUAGGGUCCGAGCGUUGUCCGGAGUUACUGGGCGUAAGGGCGCGUAGGCGGCUUUGUGCGUCACACGUGAAAGCCCCUGGCUCAACCAGGGAGGGUCGUGUGAAACGGUGAAGCUGGAGGCAGAGAGAGGCUGGUGGAAUUCCCGGAGUAGUGGUGAAAUGCGUAGAUAUCGGGAGGAACACCGGUGGCGAAGGCGGCCAGCUGGCUCUGACCUGACGCUGAGGCGCGAAGGCGUGGGGAGCGAACGGGAUUAGAUACCCCGGUAGUCCACGCAGUAAACGAUGUGGGCUAGGUGUGGGGGGAGUUGACCCCCUCCGUGCCGGCGCAAACGCAGUAAGUCCACCGCCUGGGGAGUACGGCCGCAAGGCUAAAACUCAAAGGAAUUGACGG
rnacentral:rRNA from 1 species